GAUCGGCCCGCGUCUGAUUAGCUAGUUGGCGGGGUAAUGGCUCACCAAGGCAUUGACGGGUAGCCGGCCUGAGAGGGUGACCGGCCACACUGGGACUGAGACACGGCCCAGACUCCUACGGGAGGCAGCAGUGGGGAAUAUUGGACAAUGGGCGAAAGCCUGAUCCAGCAACGCCGCGUGAGGGAUGACGGCCUUCGGGUUGUAAACCUCUUUCAGCAGGGACGAAGCGAAAGUGACGGUACCUGCAGAAGAAGGACCGGCCAACUACGUGCCAGCAGCCGCGGUAAUACGUAGGGUCCGAGCGUUGUCCGGAAUUAUUGGGCGUAAAGGGCUCGUAGGCGGUUUGUCGCGUCGGGAGUGAAAACUCAGGGCUCAACCCUGAGCGUGCUUCCGAUACGGGCAGACUAGAGGUAUGCAGGGGAGAACGGAAUUCCUGGUGUAGCGGUGGAAUGCGCAGAUAUCAGGAGGAACACCGGUGGCGAAGGCGGUUCUCUGGGCAUUACCUGACGCUGAGGAGCGAAAGCAUGGGGAGCGAACAGGAUUAGAUACCCUGGUAGUCCAUGCCGUAAACGUUGGGCGCUAGGUGU
rnacentral:rRNA from 1 species